UACGAAGGGGGCUAGCGUUGCUCGGAAUUAUUGGGCGUAAAGCGCACGUAGGCGGCUUUGCAAGUCGGAUGUGAAAUCCCUCGGCUUAACCAAGGAAGUGCAUCCGAAACUGCAGAGCUUGAGUACUUAAGAGGAUCGCGGAAUUCCCGGUGUAGAGGUGAAAUUCGUAGAUAUCAGGAGGAACACCGGUGGCGAAGGCGGCACUCUGGGCCGGUACUGACGCUGAGGAGCGAAAGCGUGGGGAGCGAACAGG
rnacentral:rRNA from 1 species